rnacentral:rRNA from 1 species
UCUGACGGAGCAACGCCGCGUGAGUGAUGAAGGUUUUCGGAUCGUAAAACUCUGUUGUUAGGGAAGAACAAGUACCGUUCGAAUAGGGCGGUACCUUGACGGUACCUAACCAGAAAGCCACGGCUAACUACGUGCCAGCAGCCGCGGUAAUACGUAGGUGGCAAGCGUUGUCCGGAAUUAUUGGGCGUAAAGCGCGCGCAGGCGGUUUCUUAAGUCUGAUGUGAAAGCCCCCGGCUCAACCGGGGAGGGUCAUUGGAAACUGGGGAACUUGAGUGCAGAAGAGGAGAGUGGAAUUCCACGUGUAGCGGUGAAAUGCGUAGAGAUGUGGAGGAACACCAGUGGCGAAGGCGACUCUCUGGUCUGUAACUGACGCUGAGGCGCGAAAGCGUGGGGAGCGAACAGGAUUAGAUACCCUGGUAGUCCACGCCGUAAACGAUGAGUGCUAAGUGUUAGAGGGUUUCCGCCCUUUAGUGCUGCAGCAAACGCAUUAAGCACUCCGCCUGGGGAGUACGGUCGCAAGACUGAAACUCAAAGGAAUUGACGGGGGCCCGCACAAGCGGUGGAGCAUGUGGUUUAAUUCGAAGCACCGCGAAGAACCUUACCAGGUCUUGACAUCCUCUGACAACCCUAAA